rnacentral:rRNA from 1 species
AACGACUCUCGGCAACGGAUAUCUCGGCUCUCGCGAUCGAUGAAGAACGUACGAAAUGCGAUACUUGGUGUGAAUUGCAGAAUCCCGUGAACCAUCGAGUCUUUGAACGCAAGUUGCGCCCGAAGCCAUUAGGCCAAGGGCACGUCUGCCUGGGCGUCACGC